AUCUUUAGUUCUAGAAUGAUAUGAAACUUCCUAGGACUAAAUUAUGCAAAGGAAAUUUCAGCUAAAAUAAGGCAUAUAGGCAAACAGACAUUUUAAAUGGCCUUGGGAAUUCUGUUUUAUUUGCAAGAAGAAAAUAAUUCUUAUUUUCCCCUUGACUUGAGUAGAUGUUCUGCAGUCUUUGUCAGCCAUCUAGUUGGUGCUUUAAAAUCUUUACAUCUAAAAAGACAACAUGCCCACAGCCAUUAACUACACUCGACACAGUGACAAUUAUUUUUUACUGUAGCAACUCUGCUUGGUUCAAGUAAAGAAAAAUUUGAGAGAAAGUUCAAGUCCUGAAACUGCUAAUGCCUUCCUGUGAUGGUAUGUGGGAUGAGAAAACCAGAGCACACUUGUGAACUACACAGCAUGGGCACCUGCAAAGGCUGGAGUAGGUUCUACAGUAAUGUGCAAAGGAAUUCAAUGAGCAUGGGUCUUCCUGCAUGAAUUAAGAAUUUCUCUUUUGAGAGUGCAAGAAAUUUUAGGGUAAUUUUACUCAAAUGCUAAGAAUAAAAGUAAUGAUCAACAUUUUGGAAAGGAGCCUUGUGAAAGUCAAUUUUCUAUUCUGAGAAAGCAACUUAUCUGUGAUGGUCCAAAGGUAGGCCCUACCAAGUGCAGACUAAGGCUGGAAAUGGAGAUGUCCAUGUGUGCUUGGGCCAAAGCCUGUUUCUUUCUGAAGUACAGUCCAGUUCUGGGGCUGGACUGUGGCAUGCUUGUUAAUGUUUAAUAACUGCCUUUCUGGGAGGAAGCCCUCAUUUGUUGUGUUUGCCAAUAUCCUUGGUGUAAAUAUUCUCAUCAUGGUUGAAUUCAGGCCACCAAUGCAACAUCACUGAAUGUGGUAUUUGGAAGAGAUACACAGCAGCACACCAUUGUACAAUAUUUCUAACAUACAAAUGCAAGAAAUACAAAUAACCUCAAGAGCAUAUUUAAUGAUGAAAUGUCCUAAAAAAUAGGAAGUGGUGAGUUUUUAGUAUUUAUUACCAUUAUUUUUGUAUGAUUUAUGUUUUUAUGAUUUACUUUUUAAUAAUGACUGUGCUUUUCCAGCAGUUCCCAAAAUUCCUGAUAAUUUCACAAUUAGCUCUUAUAAACUGGAACAAGCCAGCUUCCAGCACACCACUAGGCCAGAUAGACCUGGGUUUGAAUCCUGGUCUGUUGUUCUGCUAGCUAUGUGACAUUGGUGAGGUUUUGAACUUCUUUGAGCUUUAGUUUUUUCUGCUAUUAAAAAUGAUGACAAUAAUAAUAAUUUCAUGGAUUUAUUGGUCAUUAAACAAGAUAGUGCUUAGCAUAGUAGCUCCAUAUGAUAAAUAUUCUAUGUUUGUACUAGUAUAUUCCAAAGCCAAAUUCAUUUACUUAAUAAACAUUUUGCAGGGAUGCAUUUUAUAGGUGUUUUGUAUUGUACAUUGUCUGCAGUAUUACGCACUAUGUGGGUACAAAGUGCCUCAGACAUGACUCUUGACCUGCCCUUAGAAGGUUCAUAGUCUAUCAGAAUGGGAUAUAAGACAUGGACACCAAUAAGUUUAUAAUACAGAACAAGCUAUGGUCAGCUAGUUAAAAACAAACAGCCUGGGAAAUGAAGAAAAGAGAGGAUUUAUGGAGGUGAUGGCAUUUGAUUCAUAUAUUACAGAAUAGACUGGAUAUACAGAGAUGUCCAGAAAAAGAUUUCCCAAGAACAGAGAGUAAGGGAAGCAAAGACAAAGACAAAGGAACAGGAAGGAACAAACGGUACAAGGUUCAGUGGAACAGAAUAUGAAAAGUGACCCUGAGGAGACUGAUGGACAGGCAGGCAACCUCCAGGUCAUGUUCACCUUGAAUGCUGAGGAAUUUGGUUUAUGUUUAUGUAGGUAACGAUGAGCCUGAUAAGUGACACAAAUCAUGUUUUUCAAUUACCUAUCGUAUUAUUUUAAAUAUUAUACUUGUUCGCUGAAUAAAUUUUGAUGGUAACUGUUCUUUUCCCCUUUAAAAGAAAUAGUUAAGAGUUAACUACAUAGUGAAAUACAGUUUUAAACUAAGUAAAUUUCCCCUGUGGAAAAAAUCUUAUGCUCAGGGUUAGUAGGUGGCAUUAUAAUUCCCAGUUGAAAACUAUGUCAUUGUUUAAAGGUUUUGAUAAAUAUUAGCAAGGCUCAGACCAGAGGCAGUAUUUCAUGAGUUUUCAAUUGUCUGCCACGUCUCUCGUGCAUUAUGCUUCACACACAAAAAAGUCAGAUGACCUACAUCUUCCUCUGCUCCAGUCUGAAGCUGCUAUAUAUAGGCUUUGGUUAUGAAUGUUUUUUC
rnacentral:lncRNA from 1 species